GGUUCCAUAGUAUAAUUGGAUAGUACAUCCGCCUCCUAAGCGGCUGAUCCCGGUUCGACCCCGGGUGGGACCA
rnacentral:tRNA from 2 species